rnacentral:rRNA from 1 species
GACGAACGCUGGCGGCGUGCCUAAUACAUGCAAGUCGAGCGAAUUGUUGAGGAAGCUUGCUUCCUGAGCAGUUAGCGGCGGACGGGUGAGUAACACGUAGGUAACCUGCCUGCAAGACCGGGAUAACAUGCGGAAACGGAUGCUAAUACCGGAUAAUCAAUUUUGCCUCCUGGUGAGAUUGGGAAAGGCGGAGCAAUCUGCCACUUGCAGAUGGACCUGCGGCGCAUUAGCUAGUUGGUGGGGUAACGGCUCACCAAGGCGACGAUGCGUAGCCGACCUGAGAGGGUGAUCGGCCACACUGGGACUGAGACACGGCCCAGACUCCUACGGGAGGCAGCAGUAGGGAAUCUUCCGCAAUGGACGAAAGUCUGACGGAGCAACGCCGCGUGAGUGAGGAAGGCCUUCGGGUCGUAAAGCUCUGUUGCCAGGGAAGAACGUCGAGGAGAGUAACUGCUCUUCGAAUGACGGUACCUGAGAAGAAAGCCCCGGCUAACUACGUGCCAGCCGCCGCAGUAAAAC